AUGCACGCUGGCGGCGUGCCUAAUCCAUGCAAGUCGAGCGAACAGACGAGGAGCUUGCUCCUCUGACGUUAGCGGCGGACGGGUGAGUAACACGUGGAUAACCUACCUAUAAGACUGGGAUAACUUCGGGAAACCGGAGCUAAUACCGGAUAAUAUAUUUAACCGCAUGGUUCAAUAGUGAAAGACGGUUUUGCUGUCACUUAUAGAUGGAUCCGCGCCGCAUUAGCUAGUUGGUAAGGUAACGGCUUACCAAGGCAACGAUGCGUAGCCGACCUGAGAGGGUGAUCGGCCACACUGGAACUGAGACACGGUCCAGACUCCUACGGGAGGCAGCAGUAGGGAAUCUUCCGCAAUGGGCGAAAGCUUGACGGAGCAACGCCGCGUGAGUGAUGAAGGUCUUCGGAUCGUAAAACUCUGUUAUUAGGGAAGAACAAAUGUGUAAGUAACUAUGCACGUCUUGACGGUACCUAAUCAGAAAGCCACGGCUAACUACGUG
rnacentral:rRNA from 1 species